rnacentral:lncRNA from 1 species
AAUCAAAGAAGAAAGGUUUUAUUUUUAAACUACUUACCGAAGUAAAAGGUGAUGCCGACGAGCAAGGUGGUGUCGAUACUUAUGAUAACAAUUAUAAUAGUGACUGAUAUAAGUCUGACGGCUAUUUUUUUGCAGCAAAAUUUGUUAAAAAUAAGUAACAGUACUAAAAAUUUCUCAGUGGUUAAUAUAGAAACGUCACGUGGGGUGUGACGUAGCACGCCGUAUUUAAGAGAGCGAGCAGCUGUUGGAGUAGCAGUGACGAUGAAGGGCUGCCUUAUAGAUUUCAAGUAUUUUGUUCUGUCUUCUGAAAAGGUAAUUUACAGGCAGUUAAGUUAUCUUUCUUUGGAUGAUAACAAUGGUGAAUGUAUACAGAUAUAUGCUCCGGGAGUUUAUUAUAAUCAACUAGCCGACGUCGAAAAGACCGUGAGACAUGCGACGCAGAAAGUUCACGGUUGGCCUACAAGCCUGUGCUAAACGGCGAGACUUGGAUUCAUCACGAUAAAAUAAAUGACGUUCUAUACAAUUUGUUCAAGCAGUACGGAAUAUUAUACUACAAAGGUGGAACCAUAGAAAAUGAACCAUAGAAAAUGAUUCGUGAAAAAUGUCCGAGUCACGACACCUUUCAAAAUCCUUGUUCGUUUUGUGACGUUCAUUCAUAUAAAAGAGCC